rnacentral:lncRNA from 1 species
UACAAACUGUGGAAUUGCCCUAACAGAACGUCCGAAUUUACAGGUCUUGGCCGGAGAUCGGAGCCAUGUCUGUGUUAUCCCCACUGUAGACAAUCCUUGCUUCCUCUGGACAUCUGGAGCAGGCCCAAUUUGACUGAGAGCCUUCCCCCACUAAGUUACAGAUCCAGCCCCACCAUCACCAGCAGAGUUGAGUCCAAAUCCAACACUCUAGGCCGGGUAGUGCUGGGACUUUGCCAGCCUCCUGCUGAGAAGUGAAUUCUCCCCUUGGCAAACUGCAGCCAGCCAGCCUCCUGGGUCGAGAGCCAAGCCAAAAGAUGUCUGAGAGAAGAAACCUGGGAUCCUGCAAAGGUAAGUGGGUCCCAGUCCACUCUCAAUCCCCCUCUCUCUGUGUGAUUGCUAUUCCACACUGGAGUCGCCUGCUCUGUGCUUCUGAGGAACCUCACCUCUGGCACAUCAAUGGAAAUUGUCCUUCCCUUUUUAUUUAUUUUUUAUUUUUUGCCACCCUCACUGACCACUAAGAGAUAGCCCUAGCUCCUCCUCUCCUGCCUGGUUUUGACUGGACUCACUCCAUUGAGUCCUGUCUUGUCUCUUUGCAGCCCUCCUCCCCCCCACCCCCUUCAGCCAGCACUUAGGCCCUCCCUGAUUUAGCCCGUUACCUUGACAACCACUUGGGCCUGUCUCCCUCAUCACCACUGAAAACCUGAAGGUGGUUUUCCAGCUGCGGUACAUUUGCCCAAGUUGGGCACCCCUCCAGCUUCUAUUGGCUCGCCCUCUAUACAGCUGUACCCAAUAUAACAAACACAACCUUCCUGGCCCCUCAGCUGUAGUCUCGAAAUUGAUCUCACUGGUCCCAGGAACUCCGUCAAUACUGCCUCCUCUAGACUGAGCUCCUCACAGGCAGGAACAUGGUUGUUUCUCAAUAAACAAGUUGCAAAAAAAGGAA